rnacentral:lncRNA from 10 species
UAUAUUUGUAAGCCGAGUUGAAUGCUUUGUGGAGAGAGAUCCCAUUCAGGAGGGCUAAGCUUGAAUCCAGGACUUACUGAGGAGCAAUCACACAGAAAAGGACAGACACUUCGAGGGAAGUACCUCAGAAUGAGAGCCUUGCAUUCAUUUACUUUGGCUCAGUAGCUCCUACUCCUAUAGCAUUUGGGAAGGAAGAAUGAUUGCCUCCAUCCCAUGUAACACAGCUCAUAUUAUACAGAAGGAGAAUGCAAACUUCCUUCUCUCAAGCCUCUAAAGGUGGAAGCAAACCUACCUUACAAACAGCAGGCUUGCUCCUAAUCAGUGCCGUGAAGGGACCAAUGCUGCCUGGUACAUGGAGUCAGUAGGAGGAUGGGCAGAUGGCCACUAGCAUCAGUGACAAUGCAGCCUGGAGUGGAUUCAACAGACAACACAGACUUCCCUUCACUCUCAUCUCUGCCCCCACCAGAGGCACUGAGUCACUGGCUUAACUGAGUCACUGAACCUGGAAGGGACCACGUCCUCCUUCAUUCACUCAUUAUCUCAGUCAGCAUAUACCUCUAUGUGUCAGGCACUGUCAUGGCCGCUGCUCCAGCAAUAGAUAGGACAGGGCCCCUGCCCUCAAGGAGCUUCCAGUCCAGUCAGGGCUACCCCUUCAAUGCCACCCCCCUGCUGGAGAGCCUGGAUCUUGGGUAAGGUUCCACAUCUGUUACUGCUGUAACCUGGUGAUGUCACUUACUCCUCUGUGUCUUGGUUUCUUUAUCUGAUAUGAAAGUCUCAUGACUUGCUGAAUAAAUGUCAUAACAUUUCAUUUAACUCAGUUUAUAAUGUUGCACUAGUCAUCAGAUUCACUGAGUUCUUCAAAAAUAUAGCUCUUUGGCA